rnacentral:rRNA from 1 species
AGAGUUUGAUCCUGGCUCAGAUUGAACGCUGGCGGCAGGCCUAACACAUGCAAGUCGAGCGGUAGAGAGAAGCUUGCUUCUCUUGAGAGCGGCGGACGGGUGAGUAAUGCCUAGGAAUCUGCCUGGUAGUGGGGGAUAACGUUCGGAAACGGACGCUAAUACCGCAUACGUCCUACGGGAGAAAGCAGGGGACCUUCGGGCCUUGCGCUAUCAGAUGAGCCUAGGUCGGAUUAGCUAGUUGGUGGGGUAAUGGCUCACCAAGGCGACGAUCCGUAACUGGUCUGAGAGGAUGAUCAGUCACACUGGAACUGAGACACGGUCCAGACUCCUACGGGAGGCAGCAGUGGGGAAUAUUGGACAAUGGGCGAAAGCCUGAUCCAGCCAUGCCGCGUGUGUGAAGAAGGUCUUCGGAUUGUAAAGCACUUUAAGUUGGGAGGAAGGGUUGUAGAUUAAUACUCUGCAAUUUUGACGUUACCCGACAGAAUAAGCACCGGCUAACUCUGUGCCAGCAGCCCGCGGUAAUACAGAGGGUGCAAGCGUUAAUCGGAAUUACUGGCGUAAAAGCGCGCGUAGGUGGUUAGUUAAGUUGGAUGUGAAAUCCCCGGCUUAACCUGGGACUGCNUCAAAACUGGCUGC